AUUCCCACCAGCAUUGUAUAAGCAUUCCCUUUUCUCCACAACCUCACCAGAAACCAGCAUCUGUUAUUUCUUGACUUUUAUUAAUAGCCAUUCUGACUGGUGUGAGAUGAUAUCUCAUUGUAGUUUUGAUUUGGGUUUCUCUAGUGAUUAGUGAUGUUGAGUAUUUUAUAUGCUUGUUGGCCAUGUAGCUUCUUUUGGCUAGGGACCUGUGAGUCUCCCUAGGUUUCUUGCACUUACUAAGCCUUCAACAAAUGGUAGAAGAGUCAAUUCUCUUGGUGUUUCAGAAGAAAACAAUAUCACAGCCCCUCUCCACUGGAUAAUACUAUAAAUCUUAAAAUGAAUUUUCAUUCAGAGUAAUAAACACAAGCCAAAGAACUUUGUAUAACAUCCGUCAACUUUUUGUGUUAUCUAUUUCUUUUCCAAAACAUUGCCUCUGGUUUUAAAGGUAACUGCCCACAGUGUUUCACUAAUAACAUUUUAAGCAUUACAAGUUCAACACUGAAGGUCAAAUGACAACGAACUUUCAGUGCUUCCAAAAGCAGGGGCAGAGGGCAACUGCUGAGGGGGGCAUUGUAUAGCCUAACCUUCCCAGAAUUUGAUUUAAAAGUAUGAUCUUCACAGCGUUGGCCAGCAAUAUCAUGGUCACUCCCUACGUCAUUCCCUGGGAGAAAAACAACCCUAGGUUACCUAAACAAUGUUGGCGAAGACCAAAUAUUUAUUAACAUCCUAAGCCGCCCCAUAAUCAAGCCAAUGCUGAUAGGGACAAAGAAGGUGCCAUGUGCAGUUUUUCUCCAUGUCCCCACAAUAUCUGCUCUGAAUUUUAAAAGGCAAUUACUGGGGGAGAAGGAAGCCUAUAUAUUAUGUAGGAUCCAAGUCUCAAACUGCUUUCCUAGGGAGUGUGAGGUUCUUGGAGAUUAAGUGCAGUACCUUUCUGUCUUGAGCCUUGUAGGCUGCCCCUCUAAUUUAAUGCCAGUCUUGAAAUAAACAGAAUGCUUUCCAAGUCAUCGCUAAUUUUAACACUUUAAAUUUAGAAUUGCUUAGAAUUGACUCAACACUGCCUCCUUGCUGAAUGGAUAAUUCAAGCAAACAACUCAAGAGCUGGAUGCUGCCCAGACAGAAGUCCUCCUAGCAUCUUUCUUCUGCCUUCCCCUGCUCCUGUCCCUGAAACCUUUUCUUCAAAAGAAGUGGAAAAGAGGAACUGGGAACCCAUAUAGCAACAGCAUCACCUGGAAUGAAUUCCUUUAGAACAUACUGUCUUGGAAAUCUGAAGCCUGCAGGGCUGGACAGGCAAGAAGAGCAGUGAGCACUGCAUGAACCUGCAUGUACUCCGAAAUAUUUUUCAAAUGGAAAAGAAAACAGAGAACACAAUUUUCAAAAUAUCUAGAGCCCUCCAAGAAGUCUUUGUAGAGAUCUAUAAAAUCUCAAGGCAAUUUAAAGAAUAGAAAAAUGUUUUAGAAACACUAUUCUCUCCACAUCCUGGGGCAGCAGCCUUCUCCAAAGAAACAGAAAGAAGGAAAUGGAUUGCCUUAGCAAAAAAACAAAUGAAGACACUCCAAAUAACAGAAGAAUGGGAAGGCUACAGACCUUGAAGUCAGAAGAAAAUUUCCUCUCCUUGCCCCGUUUCUCCUUAAAUGGAUCACCAGUACAGUCUCUUACUUCUAGAGCCAUGUUAAGCUUUCUUCCCCAAAGUUGUAAUGUCCUUCUUUUGGUUGUGUCGUGUCCUAAAAUCCUACUCUUUGGUACAAGAUGAAGGUAUAUGAAGAGAUAAUGAAGGAAACAAAUUCAAUGUGUUUGCCAAGAACACAGUCUUUUAAAUAACUCUUAAAGGGUUCGUUUAAAACAGUGUAAUAAAUUGUGGUAAUCUAGUACACAAAGCUAGUAGGAACCUCGUUUAUUAAUAAUAUUUCAACAUUGAGCAGUAGAGGGCAGCACUAUCCUUCUUUUGCAAAA
ensembl:lncRNA GOT1-DT GOT1 divergent transcript